UUCCGGUUGAUCCUGCCGGACCCGACUGCUAUUUGGGUGAGAAUAAGCCAUGCGAGUUGAAUGGGAUACCUAAAGUUCCCAUAGCAAACUGCUCAGUAACACAUGAUCAACUUACCCUAUAGAGAAAAAUAACCUCGGGAAAUUGAGGAUAAUGUUUCACAAUUGAAUUGGCUUGGAAAAGUUUUUCAAUGAAAAGGAUAAAAAAAAUGGUUUUUAUCUGCUAUAGGAUAGGAUCGUGUUCGAUUAUGGUUGUUGGUGAGAUAAUGGCUCACCAAGCCGAUAAUCGAUAGGGGCCGUGAGAGCGGGAGCCCCGAGAUGGGUACUGAGACAACGACCCAGGCCUUACGAGGCGCAGCAGGCGCGGAACCUCCGCAAUACACGAAAGUGUGACGGGGUUACCCAAAGUGUUCAAUAGAACUGUGGUAGGUGAGUAAUGUCCCCUACUAGAAAGGAGAGGGCAAGGCUGGUGCCAGCCGCCGCGGUAAAACCAGCUCUUCAAGUGGUCGGGAUAAUUAUUGGGCUUAAAGUGUCCGUAGCCGGUUUAGUAAGUUCCUGGUAAAAUCGGGUAGCUUAACUAUCUGCAUGCUAGGAAUACUGCUAUACUAGAGGGCGGGAGAGGUCUGAGGUACUACAGGGGUAGGGGUGAAAUCUUAUAAUCCUUGUAGGACCACCAGUGGCGAAGGCGUCAGACUGGAACGCGCCUGACGGUGAGGGACGAAAGCCAGGGGAGCGAACCGGAUUAGAUACCCGGGUAGUCCUGACCGUAAACGAUGCAUACUAGGUGAUGGUACGGCCAUGAGCCGUAUCAGUGCCGUAGGGAAACCGUUAAGUGUGCCGCCUGGGAAGUACGGUCGCAAGGCUAAAACUUAAAGGAAUUGGCGGGGGAGCACCACAAGGGGUGAAGCCUGCGGUUCAAUUG
rnacentral:rRNA from 1 species